rnacentral:tRNA from 1 species
GCGGAUGUGGCGGAACUGGUAGACGCACCAGAUUUAGGUUCUGGCGCCGCAAGGCGUGGGGGUUCGAGUCCCUUCAUCCGCACCA